AGAGUGAACGCUGGCGGCAGGCCUAACACAUGCAAGUCGAACGGCAGCACAGUAAGAGCUUGCUCUUAUGGGUGGCGAGUGGCGGACGGGUGAGGAAUACAUCGGAAUCUGCCUAUUUGUGGGGGAUAACGUAGGGAAACUUACGCUAAUACCGCAUACGACCUACGGGUGAAAGCGGAGGACCUUCGGGCUUCGCGCAGAUAGAUGAGCCGAUGUCGGAUUAGCUAGUUGGUGGGGUAAACGGACCCACCGAAGGCGACGAUCCGUAGCUGGUCUGAGAGGAUGAUCAGCCACACUGGAACUGAGACACGGUCCAGACUCCGUACGGGAGGCAGCGAGGUAGGGAAUUAGUUAGGACAAGUGGGCGACAAGUCCUGAC
rnacentral:rRNA from 1 species